rnacentral:rRNA from 1 species
CUGACGGUAGUCGUAUGCUCGUCUCCGAGACUAAGCCAUGCAAGUCCAAGUACACGUCCUUGAACGACGGAAACUGCGAACGGCUCAUUAAAUCAGUUGCGAUCUACUCGGCGUUCCGCGCCGCCGGAUAACCGUAGUAUUUCUAGGGCUAAUACGUGCGAAGCGCCCGAAGCCGCGAGGCGACGGGCGUUCUCGCCGGAUGUAGGAACCGACCCGGGGACCGCCGGGGCAACCCGGCGCCCCCGAGACGGGGCGAACCACGGUGAAAUGACGGAUCGUCGGCCCCGCGCCGGCGACUCGCCGAAUGAGUUUCUGACCUAUCAACUCGAGACGGCGGGGUAGAGGCCCGCCGCGGUAACGACGGGUAACGGGGAAUCAGGGUUCGAUUCCGGAGAGGGAGCCCGAGAAACGGCUACCACUUCCAAGGAAGGCAGCA